rnacentral:rRNA from 1 species
AGCAGCCGCCACGGUAAUACGGAGGGUGCAAGCGUUAUCCGGAUUUAUUGGGUUUAAAGGGUCCGUAGGCGGAUCUGUAAGUCAGUGGUGAAAUCUCACAGCUUAACUGUGAAACUGCCAUUGAUACUGCAGGUCUUGAGUAAAUUUGAAGUGGCUGGAAUAAGUAGUGUAGCGGUGAAAUGCAUAGAUAUUACUUAGAACACCAAUUGCGAAGGCAGGUCACUAAGAUUUAACUGACGCUGAUGGACGAAAGCGUGGGGAGCGAACAGGAUUAGAUACCCCAGUAGUCCCUGUCUCUUAUAC